rnacentral:misc_RNA from 1 species
UUUCCGUAGGCGAACCUGCGGAAGGAUCAUUCAUAAUAAGUGUUUUAUGGCACUUUUUUAAAUCCAUAUCCACCUUGUGUGCAAUGUCAGGGUUGGUCUCUUUUGAACAGCCCCAAACAUCAACUAUUAUCUCAACUCUUCGUCUGAAAAAUAUUAUGAAUAAAACAAUUCAAAAUACAACUUUCAACAACGGAUCUCUUGGCUCUC